AUUGAACGCUGGCGGCAUGCUUUACACAUGCAAGUCGAACGGCAGCGCGGGCUUCUUCCUGGCGGCGAGUUGCGAACGGGUGAGUAAUGCAUCGGAACGUACCCAGUAGUUGGGGAUAGCCCGGCUAAAGCCGGAUUAAUACAUCAUACGACCUGAGGUUGAAAGCGGGGGACCGAAAGGCCUCGCGCUAUUUGAGCGGCCGAUGUCGGAUUAGCUAGUUGGUGGGGUAAAGGCUUACCAAGGCGACGAUCCGUAGCUGGUCUGAGAGGACGACCAGCCACACUGGGACUGAGACACGGUCCAGACUCCUACGGGAGGCAGCAGUGGGGAAUUUUGGACAAUGGGGGAAAGCCUGAUCCAGCAAUGCCGCGUGAGGGAAGAAGGCCUUCGGGUUGUAAAACGCUUUUGUUAGGGAAGAAAUCAUCUGGGAUAAUACCUCGGGGGGAUGACGGUACCGGAAGAAAAAGCACCGGCUAACUACGUG
rnacentral:rRNA from 1 species